GGUUAUGAGUGCCAGCGCUUAGCCCCGGCUUGCUGGCCGGCAACCCUCCACCGCGGUGGGGUGCCCCGGGUGACGACCUGGCCGUGAAUCCAACACCGGACACGGCAAGCGCGGACU
rnacentral:ncRNA from 2 species